rnacentral:ribozyme from 1 species
GAUCAAAGAGAAGAUGAAGUGUGCACAAUAUUUAUGGUGUAUUUUUUUCUUUUCUUUUCUUUUCUUUUUUGGCUGCCACUUUCCUGCAGAUUUGA